rnacentral:rRNA from 1 species
GCGUUGAAAAGCUCGGGGAUGACUUGUGGGUAGCGGUGAAAUUCCAAUCGAGCCCGGAGAUAGCUGGUUCUCCCCGAAAUAGCUUUAGGGCUAGCCUCAAGGUGAGAGAUACGGAGGUAGAGCACUGAAUGUCCUAGGGGGUAUUGCACCUACCGAAGACUAUCAAACUCCGAAUGCCGUCAUCUUAUACUUGGGAGUCAGACUGUGGGUGAUAAGAUUCAUAGUCGAAAGGGCAACAGCCAAGAUCGUCAGCUAAGGUACCUAAAUGUAGGUUAAGUGGUAAAGGAUGUGGGAUUGCACAGACAACCAGGAUGUUGGCUUAGAAGCAGCCACUCAUUCAAAGAGUGCGUAAUAGCUCACUGGUCGAGUGAUCCUGCGCCGAAGAUUUCCGGGGCUAAAACUUACUACCAAAGCUACGGCAUCAGUAAUGAUGGGUAGGGGAGCUUCCCAUACGGGUUGAAGCAUGACCGUAAGGACAUGUGGACAGUAUGGGAGUGAGAAUGUUGGCAUGAGUAGCGAGAUGUGGGUGGGAAUCCCACAGGCCGUAAACCCAAGGUUUCCAGGGGAAGGUUCGUCCGCCCUGGGUUAGUCGGGACCUAAGCUGAGGCCGAAAGGCGGAGGUGAUGGACAACAGGUUGAUAUUCCUGUACUACCGAUAACCGUUUGAGAGAAGGGAUGACACAGUAGGAUAAGCUAAGCACACUGUUGGUUAUGUGUGCCCAAGCAUUGAGGCAGUCAAAGUAGG